UUUGAUGUAAAAUAUUUUGCUUUUAAUAAAAGCGAUUUGGUUUUGACGUUUACAAAAAUUCUGAAUAAAUUACUUGGCAAAUUUUCUGUCUAAAUUAGAGACAUUCCAUAGCUCGAACUUGGCUCCUGCUCUCAAAUGUACUACACUUCGUCUUUGCUUAAUGCACUGGGGCAAUAAAUAUCAAACCGUCAACAAACAAAUAAUAUGUCAUUUUUUCUUUCGCUAAAAAUAUGACAAUGGCAGAUGAACAAAUAGCACAAAAUAAAAAAAAAGCAAAAAUAGAAAAAGUUCAUUUUGAUAUAUAUGUAUUUAUAUAUCAAAAUUAAUCAGAUCGGAUGGUUACAGAGCGAGAGAAAAAAAAACAUAAUUUAUAUUCAUCGUAUUUACAUGCCAUGUACAGCAGCAGCCGCCUUCGAGGGUAAUAAAUAUGUGCGCCUAUGUUAAAUUCUGGCUGGCAUUGCGUAAUAAAUAUCACAUUUUAUUGGCCACACGCGGGAGUUCCCAGUCCAAACAAGCUGAGAACUUGGCAUAAAGAUAAGUCCGUUGGUAAUGAUGAGAAAAUGCGUCGCUUGGCAACCAAUGGAUACAUUUUGGGUUCGUCUGGCUGUCUAUUCUCGCGUAGCCAAGGUCACGCUAGCGUGUGUGUGUGUGUGUGUGUGUGUGCGGGUGUUUUGUUAUAUUUUUUCAU